CCUACGGGAGGCAGCAGUGGGGAAUAUUGGACAAUGGGCGAAAGCCUGAUCCAGCCAUACCGCGUGUGUGAAGAAGGCCUUCGGGUUGUAAAGCACUUUCAGUGGGGAAGAAAGCCUUGGGGCUAAUACCCUCGAGGAAGGACAUCACCCACAGAAGAAGCACCGGCUAACUCCGUGCCAGCAGCCGCGGUAAUACGGAGGGUGCGAGCGUUAAUCGGAAUUACUGGGCGUAAAGCGCGCGUAGGCGGUCUGAUAAGCCGGUUGUGAAAGCCCCGGGCUCAACCUGGGAACGGCAUCCGGAACUGUCAGGCUAGAGUGCAGGAGAGGAAGGUAGAAUUCCCGGUGUAGCGGUGAAAUGCGUAGAGAUCGGGAGGAAUACCAGUGGCGAAGGCGGCCUUCUGGACUGACACUGACGCUGAGGUGCGAAAGCGUGGGUAGCAAACAGGAUUAGAUACCCUAGUAGUC
rnacentral:rRNA from 1 species